CAACCUGAGCUCAGUCGUGAUUACCCGCCGAACUUAAGCAUAUCAUUCAGCGGAGGAAAAGAAACUAACUAGGAUUCCCCAAGUAAUGGCGAAUGAAAGGGGAAGAGCCCAGCGCUGAAUCUCUCGGUCUUAGGCCGCUGAGAACUGUAGCGUAUAGGUGUGACUGUCCUGCUAUAUUGCAUUUCCGAAGUCUCUUUGAUAGGGGCCAACAUCCAGAGAGGGUGCGUAGACCUGUACGGAAAGUAGUAUAGUUGGUAUGGUUACUCCUUGGAGUCGGGUUGCUUGAAAGUGCAGCCUAAAGUUGGUGAUAAACUUCAUCUAAGGCUAAAUAUCGACGCGAAAUCGAUAGCAAACAAGUACCGUGAGGGAAAGUUGCAAAGAACUUUGAAGAGAGAGUUCAAGAGAACGUGAAAUCGCUGAAGUGGAACCGGAGAGAGUUAACAUAACUUGGUAGCUAUAUCCUCUAAAGUCGCUUAACUGUGGCUCUGGGGGGUGGACGCUACCUGUUGUUGCACUGACUGCGUUGAUUGUGCUUUCCGAACAGUAUAGUGUUGCCCACUUUGUGGUGUCUUGCUUUCUGGGAGGUUUGUCAUAAUUAACGUAAAGCCAAUUCCCUUUGGAGUCAGUGUGAAAGUUAACCACCUUUCCGACCCGUCUUGAAACACGGACCGAGGAGUGUAAUUUAUACGCGAGUCAAGGGGUGGUGAAAACCCUAGGGGCGGAAUGAAAGUAAAGGCCGGUUAACCGGUUGACAUGGGAUCCGCUCUUCGGAGCGGCGCACCAUGGCCCUGUCUUGUCUGCUUGCAGAUGGGCAGCGGUAGAGCGUAUAGUUUGCGACCCGAAAGAUGGUGAACUAUGCUUGAGCAGGACGAAGCCAGAGGAAACUCUGGUGGAAGUCCGUAUCGGUUCUGACGUGCAAAUCGAUCGAUAGACUUGGGUAUAGGGGCGAAAGACUAAUCGAACCGUCUAGUAGCUGGUUCCCUCCGAAGUUUCCCCCACGGAUAGCUGGAGUAGUGGUGCGUGGUUAUAU
rnacentral:ncRNA from 1 species